rnacentral:rRNA from 1 species
GGGUGGGCGGUGGCCCGCCCCCGCGGAUCGUCCCGUAGCACAAGGGGUGGUCUGUAUUAUUGGGCCUAAAGCGUCCGUAGCUGGCCGGUGAGAUGCCUGGGUAAAUCGAUGCGCUCAACGCAGCGAACUCCGGGUAGACCGGCAGGCUUGGGACCGGGAGAGGCGUGAGCUACUCGGGGGGUAGGGGUAAAAUCCUGUAAUCCUCCGGGGAGGACCAGUGGCGAAGGCGUCACGCUAGAACGGCUCCGACAGUGAGGGACGAAGCCCUGGGGCGCAAACCGGAUUAGAUACCCGGUAGUC